GUGCUUGCUUUGGCAGCACAUAUACUAAAAUUGGAAUGACACAGAAAAGAGUAGCAUGGCCCCUGUGCAAGGAUGCCACACAAAAUCAUGAAGCAUUCCAUAUUUUA
rnacentral:snRNA from 1 species